UGGGGAAUAUUGCACAAUGGGCGCAAGCCUGAUGCAGCCAUGCCGCGUGUGUGAAGAAGGCCUUCGGGUUGUAAAGCACUUUCAGCGAGGAGGAAGGUGGUGAGCUUAAUACGCUCAUCAAUUGACGUUACUCGCAGAAGAAGCACCGGCUAACUCCGUGCCAGCAGCCGCGGUAAUACGGAGGGUGCAAGCGUUAAUCGGAAUUACUGGGCGUAAAGCGCACGCAGGCGGUUUGUUAAGUCAGAUGUGAAAUCCCCGGGCUCAACCUGGGAACUGCAUUUGAAACUGGCAAGCUAGAGUCUCGUAGAGGGGGGUAGAAUUCCAGGUGUAGCGGUGAAAUGCGUAGAGAUCUGGAGGAAUACCGGUGGCGAAGGCGGCCCCCCUGGACGAAGACUGACGCUCAGGUGCGAAAGCGUGGGGCAGCAAACAGGAUUAGAUACCCUGGUAGUCCAGCGCUGUAAACGAUGUCGAUUUGGAGGUUGUGCCCUUGAGGCGUGGCUUCCGGAGCUAACGCGUUAAAUCGACCGCCUGGGGGAGUACGGCCGCAAGGUUAAAACUCAAAUGAAUUGGC
rnacentral:rRNA from 1 species